UACUGGGGGGGCAAGCGUUGUUCGGAAUUACUGGGCGUAAAGGGCUCGUAGGCGGCCAACUAAGUCAGACGUGAAAUCCCUCGGCUUAACCGGGGAACUGCAUCUGAUACUGGAUGGCUUGAGUUCGGGAGAGGGAUGCGGAAUUCCAGGUGUAGCGGUGAAAUGCGUAGAUAUCUGGAGGAACACCGGUGGCGAAGGCGGCAUCCGGGACCGACACUGACGCUGAGGAGCGAAAGCCAGGGGAGCAAACGGG
rnacentral:rRNA from 1 species